rnacentral:misc_RNA from 1 species
GUCGUAACAAGGUUUCCGUAGGUGAACCUGCGGAAGGAUCAUUACCACACCAAAAAACAACCCACGUGAAUGUACUCUGUAUUAGGCUUUGGCCGCACCAUCGUGAUGGUGAGUGGCUAGCCGAAGGCUUCGCAAGAAGCCGAUGAAAUUUGAAUCCUUUUGAACCAACGACUGAUCAAAACUGCAGGCAGAAAUGCGUGCAUCGAAUUGAAAUACAACUUUCAGCAGUGGAUGUCUAGGCUCGCA